rnacentral:rRNA from 1 species
AAUGAACGCUGGCGGCAGGCCUAACACAUGCAAGUCGAACGGGUCCUUCGGGACUAGUGGCGGACGGGUGAGUAACGCGUGGGAACACACCCAAAGGUACGGAAUAGCCUCGGGAAACUGGGAGUAAUACCGUAUGUGGUCGAGAGACGAAAGAUUUAUCGCCUUUGGAUUGGCCCGCGUUGGAUUAGGUAGUUGGAGGGGUAAUGGCCUACCAAGCCGACGAUCCAUAGCUGGUUUGAGAGGAUGAUCAGCCACACUGGGACUGAGACACGGCCCAGACUCCUACGGGAGGCAGCAGUGGGGAAUCUUAGACAAUGGGGGAAACCCUGAUCUAGCCAUGCCGCGUGAUCGAUGAAGGCCUUAGGGUUGUAAAGAUCUUUCAGAUGGGAAGAUAAUGACGGUACCAUCAGAAGAAGCCCCGGCUAACUCCGUGCCAGCAGCCGCAGUAAUAC